AACCCGACUACAUGAAGCUGGAAUCGCUAGUAAUCGCGGAUCAGAAUGCCGCGGUGAAUACGUUCCCGGGUCUUGUACACACCGCCCGUCACACCAUGGGAGUCGGAAAUGCCCGAAGUCUGUGACCCAACCGAAAGGAGGGAGCAGCCGAAGGCAGGUCGGAUGACUGGGGUGAAGUCGUAACAAGGUAGC
rnacentral:rRNA from 1 species